GAUGAACGCUAGCGGCAGGCCUAACACAUGCAAGUCGAGGGGUAGAGGAAGCUUGCUUCCUUGAGACCGGCGCACGGGUGCGUAACGCGUAUGCAAUCUACCUUUUACAGAGGGAUAGCCCAGAGAAAUUUGGAUUAAUACCUCAUAGUAUAUAUCAUUCGCAUGUUUGGUAUAUUAAAGUUCCAACGGUAAAAGAUGAGCAUGCGUCCCAUUAGUUAGUUGGUAAGGUAACGGCUUACCAAGACGAUGAUGGGUAGGGGUCCUGAGAGGGAGAUCCCCCACACUGGUACUGAGACACGGACCAGACUCCUACGGGAGGCAGCAGUGAGGAAUAUUGGUCAAUGGACGCAAGUCCGAACCAGCCAUGCCGCGUGCAGGAAGACGGUCCUAUGGAUUGUAAACUGCUUUUGUACGGGAAGAAACACUCCUACGUGUAGGAGCCUGACGGUACCGUAAGAAUAAGGAUCGGCUAACCCCGUGCCAGCCGCCGCCGUAACAC
rnacentral:rRNA from 1 species